rnacentral:rRNA from 1 species
AUCACCGAAGUUAAGCAACCUCGAGUCUGGUCAGUACCUAGAUGGGUGACCGCUUGGGAAUACCAGGUGUUGUAA